GGAGAGGUGACAGAGUGGCCGAUCGUGCCGGUCUCGAAAACCGGUGAACCCGCAAGGGUUCCGAGGGUUCAAAUCCCUCCCUCUCCG
rnacentral:tRNA from 1 species